rnacentral:lncRNA from 1 species
AGGACUUCCGCUGAAAGCGACUCAUUUCCUUCAAAGGCCUUCUCUCUACAAACAGCAUGACACCCCUCUCCCCCAUGUCAACACACACACACACACACACACACACACACACACACACACACACACACACACACUCACACACACACGCUGUUUCUCAUUUUGCUUCCCUUCCCUUUCCUCUAUUUUUCUAGGUAAGAAGAAAAGGACAGAGUACCUUCAGAGUGUCCCCUGCAUUUCUCACAGCUCAAGCUUCCUGUCGUACCACAGUCGGCUUGGCUCGAUGGAGUCAUUUGAGGAUCCCCUGAAAAGCGCUGCUGGUUCCCCUGCUUCUUUGUGCACACUGCUGGUAAAGGAAACCUAACAGAAGCACUGUGAAGUUCCACUUGAGCCUACCUCUCCUUCACUGGCCACGAGACACUCCAUUUUUCAAGCAUCUUUGGCUCCAUUUUGAGCGCCCACUGAGAGGCAGGAGGACUAUGCACUUGGUGGGCCUGUAAACACCAGCACCACCCACAAGGACUGGACCAGCAUACAAACUAUUUCUAAAGGUUGAAAAGGAUACUGUCAUGUAGGGAGAGGAUGGAGUCCUGAGUAAAUGUGUAUUAUUGGCAAGAGAUGGCCAUGUCAAGGACCCUGAUGCCUAAGACGCAUGGGAAUAGCAAGACCCACCGCAGCUUAGGCUCUGAGGAAAAUACAAAAGCCUUCCCCUGGAUGAACAGAUGGCCUUUAGCAUGUGCUGAAGAUACCAACUGCAGCUUUCUCGUCCAGGGUAACAGCCACCUGUUACCUAGAGCCCUCAUCCAGUGGCUGAUGGAAGCAGAGGCAGACACCCACAGCUAUACACUGAACUGAACUCUGGAACCUAAUUGCAGAGAGGGAGGAAUGAAGAACAAAGGGAUCAGGACCAGGCUGGUGAAACCCACAGAAACAGCUGACCUGAACAAGGGGGAGCACAUGGACCCCAGACUGAUGUCUGGGAGGCCAGCAUGGGACUCAUCCCCGAACGUGGAUGUCAAUGAGGAGGCCUCUGUACUCUAUGGGGCCCCUGGUAGUGGAUCAGUAUUUAUCCCUGGUGUAUGAAGGGAUUUUGAGAGCCCAUCCCACAUGGAGGAAUGCUCUCUCAGUCUCGACACAUGGGGGAGGGCCUAGGCCCUACCCAGGAUGAUAUGACAGACUUUGGGGAACCCCCAUGGAGGGUUUUACCCUCCCUGGGGAGCAGAAGGAGGAUAAGGU